UACGUAGGUGGCAAGCGUUAUCCGGAAUUAUUGGGCGUAAAGCGCGCGCAGGCGGUUUCUUAAGUCUGAUGUGAAAGCCCACGGCUCAACCGUGGAGGGUCAUUGGAAACUGGGGAACUUGAGUGCAGAAGAGAAAAGCGGAAUUCCACGGUGUAGCGGUGAAAUGCGUAGAGAUGUGGAGGAACACCAGUGGCGAAGGCGGCUUUUUGGUCUGUAACUGACGCUGAGGCGCGAAAAGCGUGGGGAGCAAACAGGG
rnacentral:rRNA from 1 species